ensembl:lncRNA
UUUCGAUGCUCUUCCUCUAAAAUUCUCCCUUUUAAUUUUGCUCACAGACCGUUUCUUCGUAUUACAAAGGCGGGUUCGAAUCGAAAAUGAAUGUUCGGGAAGCUAGUCUUAUUUUAGGCAUAAGGUGGAUCUCCAUACCUGGCAACCAAAAUCAACGAAGCCAAGGACCUGCUGGAAUCAAGCAGGAAAAAUUAAAGAGAUUUUCACCGCACCUCAGAAACCUUUUAGAGGCCGCACAAGGACCUCUUACUUUCCCAUUUGUAGGGGAACCACACAGCACAGAAACCAAACUUCGGGCUUGUUAAUAAAGUUUCAGCAGCUUUGAAGAUGCUGUUUCAGGGAGUUCAUAAUCAAAAUCCGGGCUUCCACGCUUCAAAUCUCAUUUAUGGCCUCGGGGGGGAUAUGAUCCUGGAAGCGUAAACCCAUGAUGCACAAAAGUUAGAACUGAUAUUAUUUUUUAAUACGUCAUAUUCAGGUUUUGAGUUUUUCGUCAGCAAAAAGCAAUGUCUUUUGUUUCCUUUGAAAAAUCAGAAGCGUUGUAGAUUAUAAUGAUUCAUUAUCAUCUUUUAAUGACCUCAUAAUCGCUUGCAGGGUGGAAUCUGGACAACUGAAUGGAGCUGAGUGUUUUCAUGGCCGACUGCCCUUCCUGACACCUAUGAGGAGUUAUAUUCAGCAGAUAAAUAUUCUCAUCGUGUCCAGAGAGAGAAAUAUCUGCCUAUACUUAGGAUCGAACUCACAGCCUCCAGAUUAUAAUGAUUAUGCUGUCCAAUUCGAAUUCCCGGUCCACUGUGAAAAUUAUGAAACCGAUGCUUUAGACAUGUGAAUUUCUCUCAGAGAAGUGAGCAACUCCUCUUUUACCUAAGUUGCCUGUCUUAUUUUUAGUUCAAAACUUUUUAAAGAUAUUUAUAUUCGUGAGAUGUUUUUGACUACAUCCAUAUGCUCCCGAGUGAUUUUUUUUCUCUCCUGGUGGCAUGUUUUUGAUCUCGGUCCCGAGGUCUUAACUUGGAUAAAAGGUGUCCUCCCUUCAGCGAUGGGUACAGAUUUGACAGGUUCAGUGAAAAGGUUUGAUUGACUUUCACUAAUGAGGCAGGUGUAACCGUGGGGAGGAAAAAAAAAACCCAAAAGGCUUUCCUCUGGUUUGGCAAAUCUCCAUGUGAUCUGCCUUCUUCCCCACCUCCAGCAAAAUUGCUCUAGUAAGCCAUGAAAAUAUUUAUGUUUGCUUGAUUUUGCGAGAUGACAUGGGCUGCAAAUUCCCAGUUGAAUCCUUGCUCAUGUUGAGGGAAACGGUGUGUCAAAAGCUGAGGUAAAAACGGAAACCUGAGGUAAAAAUGGAAACCACCAUAUAUAAAAAUUGUUGCCGGUUCCAACAUUCUUCCUUGUGAUUUAAAUGACCUUCAUAUAUACAUGUGUGUGUGUGUGUGUGUGUAUUUGCCUCUUUGUUUCCAGCUGAAUUUAUUACGCCUCUUUUGUGCGAGGUAUAUUUCAUUCUUCCACUUCAAGGUUGUGGAAGGACCUUGUAUUUUUCAGCCCUGCUUAGUUUAUAAAUCAGGUCCCCAUUUAAAUUAGGAUAAGCAUUAAAGGAUCUCCAGUUACUUUCCAAAGGUUGAUUUAAUUAGUUUUAACCUCUCACCACAUGACUUGUGAGAAGGAGUCAAGUCUAAAAGCAAAAGGUGCUUUUUUGCACGAGGUUUUAAAAAUAAGAAAACGCCCAAAGCAAAGCAAGGAAUGGUGGCAUUAGAGCGUUCACUGUCAUUUUACGACAGAACGAUACCUGCUUUACUAAAAGUAUAUUCGGUCUUUCCACUACAACUGAUGACCGAGGUUGUUUGCUAACAGUCAAGGAUGGGGGGGAGUGGGGGGGAAAACAAAAGGAAAAUUAAAUGAGUGCAAAAUUUCUACUGAAAUAAAAAUAAGUCAGCUGAAACCGAACA